rnacentral:rRNA from 1 species
UACGUAGGGUGCAAGCGUUGUCCGGAAUUAUUGGGCGUAAAGAGCUCGUAGGCGGUCUGUCGCGUCGAUCGUGAAAACUUGGGGCUUAACCCUGAGCUUGCGGUCGAUACGGGCAUGACUGGAGUUCGGCAGGGGAGACUGGAAUUCCUGGUGUAGCGGUGAAAUGCGCAGAUAUCAGGAGGAACACCGGUGGCGAAGGCGGGUCUCUGGGCCGAUACUGACGCUGAGGAGCGGAAGCGUGGGGAGCGAACAGG